CUAACAUCUGUAUGGCCAAUACAAAUGUUUGUCAUGUGCGGGGAUCGAACCCGCAACCGUCAGCGCGACAGCCACAGUCCGGUACUGUGGCCGUUGCGCCAACGCUUUGUCAAAAAAUAUCGUGUAAAACUCGUACGUAUGUUACAUAAACGUCAAGUUGUUUGACGUUUUUAUAUGUCGAUUUGAUGUCAACUUCAAAAACUGUCAGUCUAAAUUUUAUUUUUAUAUUUUAUAUUAUUUCGAUCGUAUCUCUUUAUUAAAUUGACAUCAAAUUGCAUAAAAUAAUUCCGACAAUAUCGGAAUCAUAUACAAAUUACAAGAUUCCGCUUUAACGUUUUUUCUUUUUCAGAUUUCCUGAGCGUGGCGUUGCCGAGCAAUGACAGCGGCCUGAGGCAGGCGGCCGGCUGCCCGGGUACAGCGGGUCUCCGUGCUGCCGACGCCGCAGCAACGCCUUUAUAGUGACUUUAUGUGUGUUUAUUAAGUGUACAUUGUUUAGUGCGAUAUUAUGUCAAAUAGUUUUAAAACAACCGAUGCAUCUCAACCGGAACUUUUCUCGUGUCCAGAACGAGCUAACGAUUUCCUGAGCGUGGCGUUGCCGAGCAAUGACAGCGGCCUGAGGCAGGCGGCCGGCUGCCCGGGUACAGCGGGUCUCCGUGCUGCCGACGCCGCAGCAACGCCUUUAUAGUGACUUUAUGUGUGUUUAUUAAGUGUACAUUGUUUAGUGCGAUAUUAUGUCAAAUAGUUUUAAAACAACCGAUGCAUCUCAACCGGAACUUUUCUCGUGUCCAGAACGAGCUAACGAUUUCCUGAGCGUGGCGUUGCCGAGCAAUGACAGCGGCCUGAGGCAGGCGGCCGGCUGCCCGGGUACAGCGGGUCUCCGUGCUGCCGACGCCGCAGCAACGCCUUUAUAGUGACUUUAUGUGUGUUUAUUAAGUGUACAUUGUUUAGUGCGAUAUUAUGUCAAAUAGUUUUAAAACAACCGAUGCAUCUCAACCGGAACUUUUCUCGUGUCCAGAACGAGCUAACGGUAGGUCGUUUAGAGGCCGCGAAGGCUUAAAAAUUCACACCGCCCGUUGCCACGGCGAUCCAUUAGUGCAUUCAUCGCCUAUUUUAACCGAUCCUUCGUCGACCGUAACCAGUGUUAAUAAUUCGGUUCCAUUUGAAAAAUUGAUUUCGAAAUUUCACCAAAAUAUCCCGAUCGUUAAACGAGUUAACUAGAGGAGCGAGGAUGUCUCUAGCUAGAUAGAUCUCUAUCAACUGUGAUUAAAAAGUGUAUUUCGGACACUGAUUCGGCCUGGUAAAAUCUUUUAUAUUUUCUUACGAAUUUUUACACGUUGAUAAAACCAAAAAUAGUUCUUUAUCAACCAAAUUAAAGCAGAAUAGCUUAUUAGACAUUCCGAUUAUCACUCCUAAAAACCCACGACCUUUAUAUUCCGACUCUAGUAAAAUUAUUGAAAAUAAAGCAAUGGAUGGAGAUCUCGAGAAUGCAGCUCGCGUUCUUUUCUCUAGUGAUUAUUUAAUUAAUGAUUACGGAAUUAUUUAAUGAUUUGUACCAAAACUAUCGGUAAAUAUUUAGUUUUUAAGGUGUGAAUUGUAAAUAGGUACCUAUAAUGUUUAAUAAACUAUUGUUAUUCAGUUGUUGUACGUAAAAUCUAACAAAUUGGUAUUUUGACGAAUAGAUAGAUAGAUAUGUUAAAAAAAGUGGUCUCCGAGACACGGCUUGAUUUUUUUUUUAUUUCAGCUACUAUAUUUAUUUUAAUAUUUUGCAUUUAAACCUAAAUUCUGGGAUAAUAAAACAUAGCGGGGUGUUCUUUUUAUUUCUGUAA